AUGCAGGCUCAGACAGCUCAUGGAGGAGCAGAGAUAUAUCCAGGGGUGAUCAGAGUGAAAGGGGGGCAACCCUUCGGAUUUAGAGGAGAAAAGAAUCAACUCAGACAUGAACAGAAGAGAGGGACAGAUGUAUAUGGUGUUGAAGACAGAAUUGUAUGGAUCUGCAUUCUGAUGUAUUCUCUGCAAAUGCCACAAGGAAGAUGGUCAUGCAGGAGUUCCCUGUAUUUUUUCAGUUCAGGAGCCAGGAAGUCCAAGAUCAAGGCAUCAGCAGAUCUGAUGUCUGGUAAGGGCUGGUUUUCUUCUUCAAAGAUGGCACCUUGUUGCUGCAUCUUCACGUGGUGGAAGGAGUCAAAGAUUUCUUGAGCUUCUUUGGUAACAGCACUAAUUUCAUUCAUGAAGGAAGAGCCCUCAUGGUCUAGUCACCUCCUAAAGGGCCCUCGUCUCAGUUCCUCACAAUGGGGAUGAGGUUUAAUAUGCAUUUUAAAGGGUCACAGACAUUCCGAUCAUAGCAAGAUUGAUUUGCGUUGUUUCAUACAUCAGUACCCUAUUCCAUUUUCUUGCUGAGUAGUAUUUCACAGUGUGGAUAUGCCACAUAUUUUGUUUCUUUACUCAUUUGUUUGUAGAUAUGUAGAUUUUUUUUCAAGGUUGUAUCUGUUAUGAAUAAAACUGCUGUAAGCAUUCAUAUGCACGUCUUUUUGUUGAUGUGCUAUUUCCUUUUGGUAAAAACUUAUGAAUAUUCAUAAGUGUAUGUUUAACACUCAAAUAAAGCUGCACAUUUUUUCUAUGUAGUUUUACUAUUUUACAUUCCCAUCAACAAUAUAUGAAAAUUCUAGUUACUCUACUUCCUCUCCAACAAUUUAUAUUGACAACCUUUAAAAUUUUAGCCAUUAUAGUGAAUGUAUUGUGGAAUCAUUAUAGUUUUAAUUUGCAUUUCCCUGAGCAUCUUUUCAUGUGGCCACUAAUAGAUUUAACAAACCAUCUUGACAUUCUUAGGAUAUGCUCUCCUUGGUUGUGAUGAAUUUAAUAUGACCAACUUCUGAGAGUGUCACCCCAGAUACUCUCAGAAGUUGGUCACAAUAAAUUCAUCACAAACAUUCCGUUCAUACCAAAAGGUAUAUAAUAUGGAAUAAUUAUACACAUAUAUCAUAGCAAACAUAUAAAAUAUAGGUAUUGAUUUGAAACUAUGUAUUAUUCUGUAUUAUUUACUUUUCUAUUACAUACAUGUAAGAGAUGUAGAUAUAAAUACAUGUAUAUUAUUUAAAAACAAUAGGACUAGUUAAUGGUUGAAAUUAGUAAUUAAUGAUAGGACUAAUUAAACAAAUGAUAUAUACAACAAAAAUAUAAUAUUUUUUAAUGUUUCUGUUAGAGAUUUUAACUCUUUGGAUAUUCUACUUUUGUAAGUUGUGUUAUUGUAUAUUCUUAAGCUAAGUAAAUAAAAUACCUUUAAAAAUUGAAUGUAAAUAAAAUGGGAUUAGCUAACCAAACAUGUAAAAUGUAAUAAGAUUAACAAUGACAUGUUUCUUUCUGUUCCAUGAUAUACCAGUACGAUGUUUUUGAUAUUUCUGUUUUCUUUUCAAUAUUUCUCUGAAAUACCAGCUGCUUUCCAGAUACUCUUCUCUUCUUUUAUGUAGUGGUAGAACUCAAUAAACCAAAAUAUAAAAUUUAUUUUUACUUGCAUCUCUGCUCCUUUAAGCCCACAUUAUGCUGUUUGCUAGUGGCAGUUAAAUGAAACAACAUCAAGCUAAAUAUUCUCUCAAUAAAAGUGUUUUAGCAUGGAAUUCUUAGAAUUUUACUCUAAAAACAUCCAUUUCGUAUCUACAGGUGUAUUUUGGUAGCUGUUUGUCAAUCAAGUUCCUUUCACCUGUAAAUCCAUCAGGUAGGCUCUCCAUGUCUAAAAUUUCCAUCAUGUUUAGACACUCCAAAACACAUUGGAUAUCAUAAUCAUAAGUUAAGCCUCUUUUUGUUGGGGAAAAUGGUUACGAAGCAUAGAAGUAAUUUGAACGUGUGAAAUUGAAGUUGGACUUACUGUAAGUUACCAUUUUCGUACAGAAAUAAGAAAGCCCUGUUUAAUGUGGUUUCCCUUUUCUAGUGACUUUGUUUUUUUACUUCUGAAACAGUGUUAUUUUAAAAAAAUGACCUUUUUUUUUUGCAUUGUAUGUGUUUUUGUUGCAACCUCCACAUAACAUUCAACAUCUCAAAUGCAGUCAGUACAUGCUUUCCUAGGUUCCUUAUGGUCUCUUCAAAGACCACCAAACAGUUUUGGAGAAACAGUGUAUACAUUUCUGUUUUCAUACUUUUCUCCAUUCUCAUCCUCAAUGCAUUGGCAAAUUAGAGAAGGACACUCUUUUUGUCCUACACUUUACAAAUAUGAUUUUAGGGCAUGCCAACAUUUUAACAUCUAUGGCAGGCAAAAAUUAUAGUCAUCUUGUAGGCACAUAUCUAGAGAGGCUGUCUCCUUCCAUUUCUCUAAAGUAAAAAAAAAUCUUAUUAAGCGUUUCUGUACAUUUUGAGGAAAUUGAAAAGUGACCAACAACUUUCAUUAUGAAAAGGAAGCAAAUCACAAUCCUUUGAAGCAGUGUUGCUUACAAGGUAUGCCAAACAUUCAGCAAGACCUUUGAUUUUCUUUGGUAGGAAGUUUAUAAGUUGAAUGGAAUUUGCAUAUAUAUAUGCAAAUACAGAUAUGCAAAUAUAUAUAUACUGUCCGCUGAAUAUACAAGAUGAGUAUCUUGAUCCAUUUUCUGUUGCAUGUAACAGAAUACAUAUAAGUGGUAAUUUAUUACCCACUUGUAUGUAUUCUGUUACAUGCAACAGAAAACAGAUCAAAAAUAAAUUUUAUUUCUUAUCAUUUUGGAGGCUGUGAAGUCCAAGGUCAAUGGGGUGCAUCUGGUGAAGACAUUCUUCCUGGUGGGGACUCUGUAGAGUCCUGAGGUGGUACAAGCCAUCACAUAAUGAGGGGGCAAGGUGGGCUAACAUGCUAGUUUAAGUCCCUCUUCCUCUUCUUAAAAAGCCAUGAGUUCUCCUUCCAUGGUAACGCAUCAGGCCGUGAACUCAUUCAUCCAUUAGUCCACUCAUGUGAGUAAAGCUCUUAUGAUCCAAUCACUGCUUAAAGACCCCACUUGUUAAUACUGUCAUGUGAGUAAAUUUCAAUGUGAGUUUUGGAGGGGACAGAUAUUCAAACCAUAUGAAUGAGCAAAGUUUACUUUGUAUUUAGACAGGACUCAACAAUAUUUUAUUUAGUAUACUUUGUAGUUUCAUUAAAAUCUUUAUAGAAAUCAAGAUGGGCCAGGCAUGGUGGCUCAUGCCUGUAAUCCCAGCACUUUGGGAGGCCAAGCAGGUGGAUCAUUUGAGGUCAGGAGUUUGAGACCAUCUUGGCCAACAUGGUGAAAUGCUGCCUCUACUAAAAAUACAAAAAUUAGUUGGGUGUGAUGGCACACAUCUGUAAUCCCAGCUGCUUGGGAGGCUAAGGAAAGAGAAUCACUUGAACCUGAUAGGUGGAGGUAGCCCUGAGCCAAGAUGUUACCACUGCACUCCAGCCUGGGUGACAGAGCAAGACUCCAUCUCAAAAGAAAAAAAUAGAAAGAAAAAGAAAAGAAAAAAAAAGAAAUCAAGACUUGAAGCUCCAUUUUUCAAAUCCAAGUACCUAACAGCCAGGGGUAACAUUUUGUUGUUCUUGUUGCUGUGAUGUCUUAUGUGAUAUACUAUAGAAAGAAGAAUCCUUGGUAAGAAUCAGACUUGCACUGUCAGAGGCAACACAUCUGUUUUCCAAAUUUCCUUUUUGUUUGCCCAAUAGGACAUUUUAGUUACAACUUCUGAAUCAGGAAAUUCACUCACUCAGUUUUAUAUAGAGGAAUUGAAGGUAAGAUAACGUAUGCUGAUUCAUGUAGUAUGCUGAAGCUAAUUCAUUGGCCACUUUACAAUAUUCAUAAUUCUGAAAAAUAUGUAAAUGAAGAACAUCACUGCGUGUUUGUAGCUGGCUACCUUGCCUUGAUAACCAUUUUGGAUUCAUAUCCCUGGCAUUUGGUUUGUGUGAACCGAGCUCCAGAGGAAUCAGCCAGGGAUUACUCUCUUCCCAGAUCACCACAUGCCAUCAGCUAUCCCAAAGAGUUUUAAAAGUGUUAGAACAAUUAAAUUGUUUGAGUGCAUUCGCUACUUAGGUUUUCUAACAAAUGAUGUUCUAAUGUAAUAAUUCAGUUUUGUUCUGUUUUCAUCUUUUUUUAGCCUACU
rnacentral:lncRNA from 1 species